CACUGCUGAGGAGCGGAGCCUCCGCCUGGGGGGCCCCCAUCCCUGGCAGUCCCCCAACUGCGCGUGCCGCCCCACCCCCGCGGCCGAGCCACCCCUGUUGCGGCGGUCUCCGCCCGCCGGAGGAGCCGCGAGCGGUCACCCGCCCCGCUCUGCAGCCUCCUUGCAUCUCGGCUUUCGGGGCGGCCCCCUCCCCCAUCCUUCCCCGCCUCUUUGCACCCCGCUUUUUUCUGCAUUUCGCUCGGGUUUUGUAGCCGUCUAUUUUUGCACCUCUUUUCGUUUUGCCUCUAGGCGGUUUGGGGGCGAAGCUGCAUUCUCACCCUAGCCCCUUUUUAUCCUCCCUUGCUGUGACAGCCCCCCUCUUCAUCGCAGUCGGGGGAGCCUGGGAUCGGUGCAUCUUCCGCCGCGCUGUCAGCACCCCGCAGCUCCUGCCUGUGCACCCCGGAAUUUGCGGCAGCUGCAUAUCUGAGGGAGGGGUCUCCUUCGCCCCCGUUGCCUUUGCACCCCGGUCGUUCUGGUGCGUGGGGGUCUUCGGCGCGCGGCGUCCCGGUUUCUCCGCAGCCCCCCGCCCAGCGCCGGGAGUCGGCCCACUCCGCCAAGAUGGUCAUCCAGAAAGAGAAGAAGAGCUGCGGGCAGGUGGUUGAGGAGUGGAAGGAGUUCGUGUGGAACCCGAGGACGCACCAGUUCAUGGGCCGCACCGGGACCAGCUGGGCCUUCAUCCUCCUCUUCUACUUUGUCUUCUAUGGCUUCCUCACGGCCAUGUUCACGCUCACCAUGUGGGUGAUGCUUCAGACUGUCUCUGACCACACCCCCAAGUACCAGGACCGACUGGCCACGCCUGGCUUGAUGAUUCGCCCCAAGACGGAGAACCUUGAUGUCAUUGUCAACGUCAGUGACACUGAAAGCUGGGACCAGCACGUUCAGAAGCUCAACAAGUUCUUGGAGCCUUACAACGACUCCAUCCAAGCCCAGAAGAAUGAUGUCUGCCGUCCCGGGCACUAUUACGAACAGCCGGAUAAUGGAGUCCUCAACUACCCAAAACGUGCCUGCCAGUUCAACCGGACCCAGCUGGGUGACUGCUCUGGCAUUGGGGACCCCACUCACUAUGGUUACAGCACGGGGCAUCCUUGUGUCUUCAUCAAGAUGAACCGGGUCAUCAACUUCUACGCAGGAGCAAAUCAGAGCAUGAAUGUUACCUGUGCAGGGAAGCGAGAUGAAGAUGCUGAGAACCUCGGCAACUUUGUCAUGUUCCCCGCCAAUGGCAACAUCGACCUCAUGUACUUCCCCUACUAUGGCAAAAAGUUCCACGUGAACUACACGCAGCCCCUGGUGGCCGUGAAGUUCCUGAACGUGACCCCUAACGUGGAGGUGAACGUGGAAUGCCGCAUCAACGCAGCCAACAUCGCCACAGACGAUGAGCGAGACAAGUUCGCCGGCCGCGUGGCCUUCAAACUCCUCAUCAACAAAACCUGAGGCCCCUUCCUCCCGCCCCUACCUCUUUCCCGUGGAUGCUUCUGGAAUGUCCCUGACCCUGCCUGAUCCCUCCCUCACCCACCCCAAAGGCACCAUGAGGACACACUUAGGAAAGAGACAGACUCCCUGCCCUCCAAGGGUGAAGAACACACAAGAAACUCUCAGACAAGGUAGACCUACACCUGCCGCAAGGAAGGGGCGAGAGCUGUGGAGGGCAGAAUUGAAAGCAUCAACCACCUUCUGCUGGGGGGUUCAAGGGGAAGGCUUUUUAGGGGCAGCAUUUAAGGGGGCUGGUUGAAAGGAUGGGGUGGUCUGGGGAGAGAGGAGAGCAUCAGCAAAUGCUUGGAGACAGAUGAGACAAGUUGAUGAGAAGAAACGGGUCAUAAAGAAAUUAGAACCGUAUGAUCCUCAUUUUGUGUGAGGAGGUACAUACACACACGCACACAUAUAUGAGCAUAGAAAAGAUGAUGCAUGGGUAUGUGCUAUGUUUCUUGUGGUUACUUAUGGGAGAGGGGAUGGAUUUAUAGUUAACCUUCAUUUCCUUCCUGGGAUUUAUUUAUACAACUCGUAAAUUUUUUGCAAUGAGUCGGUCUUAAUGUUUGUCGUAUGCAUAUGCCUAAAUAUAAACACAAUUGUUAUAAAUGCAUAAUGGGCACCCACACCCCUCAUACACAAAAGCAUCAUUGGUUUUUGGAUACUAUUAUACCAAAAUUGAAUCCUAUUAUAUAUCCUUUUCUGUACCUUAGUUUUUUCAACUCAGUUUAUUGUAUCAAUACUUUACCUGGUAGAGUUCUAAUCACUUGGAAAUGGCCAUUUUUCUAUUGGGUUGUUAUUCCCUUAUUGUUAGAGCUCUUGAACAAUUAAAGAUUUAAACUGUUUUCUGCAUUGCAGAAUUUCCCCCAAUCCAUUGUUUGCCUCUUAACUUUGUGAUUUAAGGAGUUUUUGGCUUUCAUUUAGUCAAAUAUAAAGCUUUUCUUCAUAGUUUCUGGGUUUCCAGUCUUAAUUAGGAAGGUCUUCCCAGUUCCCAGGGUAUACUUGUAUUUUAUAGAUUUUUUUUUUUUGGGGGGGGCAGGAAUUUAAUUUCAUUAACUAUUUUUUUUUACAUUAAUUCAUCUGGUUUAUUUUUGUUUCUUUUUGUGUGUGUAUGGUGUAAAUGAGGGAUUCGAUUGUAUUUGAUUUUUCCAGUUGUACCAGCUUCAUUUAAUGGGGAAAAAAAAAAAACCCUAAAUGUAUUCUUGUUGAAUUGAAAAUGCCAACUUUGGCCAUACAAUAAAUUCUCCUAUAUGUUGA